CUGGGACAGGUGCCAGUUGCUCACAAAAGGCAACCGAAAAUCGGUGAUCUGCACGUUGUUGGGAGUGUAAGGAAAACGCCAUGCAACUAUCACAGAAAAAAAAGUGAAGGAUGGUCGCGAGGGGAGGGGAAGAUGUAGAAAAAGAGGUUCGUGAAGGAGGAGGUGGGGGGGCGUUCAACACUCCUCGGGCCUCCGAGAGCUGAUCGCAUGUGCCGUGGAAACCACGGGACCAUUUGCAUAUGGCAGACACGCUAAUUGUGUGUUUGCUAACACGCACCAUUCAGCGAGACGCGCUCCGGUCCACAGACGGGGUUCACACACGCCUCCCAGACGCCCCGGAGGCCUCCUAUUGUUCCAGAGGCCCAGCCGAGCAGCCGGCGAGCCUAACCAGAUCCCUGCGCUGAGAGGGUGGACUGGAAUUCGAGACCGGGAUAGCGGAACGGGAAGGCUCUCUUUUUCUCUCUGCAGCAAGACAUCUGAAGAAAAAGAGGCCUGCGGAAAGCACUGCCUCCGGACGCUGACGUCCUCGCAGAUGUGUUUUGAAAUGGACUAACGGAGAUGCAGCGCUGCACAGGACCUGACGGACAGACAUGGUCACCAUGAACCGUCAUCGUAUGGAAAGAGCAGUGAGAAGAUUCUAGAAGAUUCACCUUCUGCGUUUCACGGACGAGUCUGAACAACACGAGGGCGAUGAAGUUGAAUGGCACACCUGCACCGGAUUCGAAUGCAGUGGAAGCGUCUGAUUAUAUGUUACGUCGCACUGAUGCAGAAAGACAGACGUGUAGAUGAAGACGGAAGGAGAGACGAACAGUGAUCAGACUGAGAUGAGUUUGAAAUGCUUCCUGAGCCCUUCGUGAAAGGUGCCAGUUCAAAUCCACACAAUCACCUUCUUUCACUAAUGCAUUUGUCUUUUAGUCUGUUUUUACCCUUAAAUUGAUUGCCUUUUCAAAUCUAAGUUCAUUUCCACUCUCCAUGUUUUAAUUUUUUGUCAUCAAACAAGACUUUAGACCCACUACAGGUGCUGCGGCCCCGCUGAAGACUCCGGCUCUUUCUUCAUGUUGGAUGCAGCAGUGUUUUUGUUAAUGUUUUGAAUUAAAUUUUCAUUUUAAUUUUGGUUAACGUUUUAGAAAUUUUAUUGUGUGGUUUAUUUGUAUUUUUUUUUUUUUUUUUUUUUUUUUUAUGUCUAUAUAGUUUUCAUUC